CUCUGCUCCCCCAUCCGCCACGGUAGCGUGGUGCUUAAGCACAGAGGCAACGUAUAGCAAUGAGUAGCGAACGUGACCUUGGAAUGCGCAGAAGCCUGCGCGUUGCGCAUCAGGCAGCCUACGUUGCCUUCCGCUCGCGAAUCUCAGACAUGUUACACUGAACGUCCUAUAGGAGGAAAGGGGAACGAGUAGCCUCUGUAUUCAGGGUGAAGAGCCACCUUCGACCUACUUGCUGAGGCGAUAUGAUCCUCCGAGACGUUUGUAAUCACCAACAACUCCACUCGGCAUCACAAAAUAGAAUACCACAAUAUAUUUUAACCACGCUGACGUCUUCAAAUCUCAGGGUCGAAGAAGUAACAACAAAAUUUUCUAGGCUCCCAUAUUCCUCCAGACCGUGCAGCAAGGACAGAAGGAUGGCCAAUCUUUGCAAGCGUAAGUUGUAUCCGAUUCAGAGGCUGAAAAACAUGUCAUCAAGGACACAUAAGAAAGUUUAAGCAGCAUUUAGAAAAGUCCCUGAAUCUCUGUAUAUCUGCAUGUUUCCCGUGUACUUCAUUUUCUCUACAACAAUAACAAGUCCAUUUUAACGUCUGGAUGUUGCCUACGUCGGCAUUCAUUUGCUCUUCGUUUUACGACGCACAAAUUUGCUUUCCCUGAACCCAUUCGUUUUUCGCUGCUUAAUAUUCAGUAUUGGUCCUUGGCGCGGGAUAGCAAUCCCAGGAGUGCAACUCUCCGUCCCAAAGCGGAGAGUUGAUUCACUACCAUUGGCAGUUCUUAGAAACGUAAACACUCUGAACCAGUCAAAAUGAUGCAACCAACGAGCUGUAUUUCGCUCCAAACACUUCCUACGUUCCGACGCCCAAACUCGCCUUGCCGGCGUUAACAAAGACCUCGAUGACAUUCUUCUGGGUACGA